GAUUAACGCUAGCGGCAGGCCUAAUACAUGCAAGUCGAGGGGCAGCAGGGUGUAGCAAUACAUCGCUGGCGACCGGCGCACGGGUGCGUAACACGUAUGCAACCUGCCUUCAACAAGGGGAUAACCCGUUGAAAGACGGACUAAUACCCUAUAACACAGGGGUCCCGCAUGGGAAUAUUUGUUAAAGGACAACCGGUUGAAGAUGGGCAUGCGUUCCAUUAGCUAGUUGGCGGGGUAACGGCCCACCAAGGCAACGAUGGAUAGGGGAACUGAGAGGUUUAUCCCCCACACUGGUACUGAGACACGGACCAGACUCCUACGGGAGGCAGCAGUGAGGAAUAUUGGUCAAUGGACGCAAGUCUGAACCAGCCACGUCGCGUGAAGGAAGACGGCCCUACGGGUUGUAAACUUCUUUUAACGGGAAUAAAGUGCCCCACGCGUGGGUUUGCAUGUACCGUAUGAAUAAGGAUCGGCUAACUCCGUGCCAGCAG
rnacentral:rRNA from 1 species